rnacentral:rRNA from 1 species
GGUAAUACGUAGGGGGCGAGCGUUGUCCGGAUUUAUUGGGCGUAAAGAGCGCGUAGGCGGCUCAGCAAGUCGGCCGUGAAAGCCUGAGGCUCAACCUCAGGACGCCGGUCGAAACUGCUGUGGUAGGGUUCGGUAGAGGAGAGUGGAAUUCCCGGUGUAGCGGUGAAAUGCGCAGAUAUCGGGAGGAACACCAGUAGCGAAGGCGGCUCUCUGGGCCGAUACCGAAGCUGAGGAGCGAAAGCUAGGGGAGCAAACAGGAUUAGAUACCCUGGUAGUCCUAGCCGUAAACGUUGGGCACUAGGUGAGGCGGAUUCAUUGACAUCUGCCGUGCCGUAGCUAACGCAUUAAGUGCCCCGCCUGGGGAGUACGGUCGCAAGGCUAAAACUCAAAGGAAUGAC